GAGGGUGGAGGCGGCUCUUGCGAUCAAAAGGGACUUGAGACUCACCAGCCACACGCCGUGAAGGCCCUGUGGGUGCUGGGCCUCUGCUGCGUCCUGCUGACCUUCGGGUCGGUCAGAGCUGUUGAUGAAGUUGAUGUGGAAGUUACAGUAGAAGAGGAUCUGGGUAAAAGUAGAGAAGGCUCAAGGAUGGAUGAUGAAGUAGUACAGAGAGAGAAAGAAGCUAUUCAGUUGGAUGAAUUAAAUGCAUCACAAAUAAGAGAACUUAGAAGUCGGAAAAGUUUGCCUUCCAAGCUGAAGUUAACAGAAUGAUGAAACUUAUCAUCAAUUCAUUGUAUGACAAUAAAGAGAUUUUCCUUAGAGAACUGAUUCUGACGCUUUAGUUAAGAUAAGGCUGAUAUCACUGACUGACGAAAAUGCUCUUUCUGGAAAUGAGGAACUAACAGUCAAAAUUAAGUGUGAUAAGGUGAAGAACCUGCUGCAUGUCACAGACACUGGUGUAGGAAUGACCAGAGAAGAGUUGGUUAAAAACCUUGGUACCAUAGCCAAAUCUGGGACAAACGAGUUUUUAAACAAAAUGACUGAAGCACAGGAAGAUGGCCAGUCAACUUCUGAAUUGAUUGGCCAGUUUGGUGUCAGUUUCUGUUCCACCUUCCUUGUAGCAGAUAAGGUUAUUGUCACUUCAAAACACAACAACGAUACCCAGUACAUCUGGGAGUCUGACUCCAGUGAAUGUUCUGUAAUUGCUGACCCAAGAGGAAACACUCUGGGACGGGGAACAAUUACCCUUGUCUUAAAAGAAAAAGCAUUUGAUUACCUUGAAUUGGAUACAAUUAAAAAUCUCAUUAAAAAUAUUCACAGUUCAUAAACUUUCCUACUUAUGUACGGAGCAGCAAGACUGAAACUGUUAAGGAGCCCACGAAGGAAGAAGAAACAGCAAAAGAAGAGAAAGGAGAAUCUUAUGAUGAAGCUGCAGUAGAGGAAGAAGAAGAAGAAAAAAGAAACCAAAGACUAAAAAAGUUGAAAAAACUGUCUGUGAAUGGGAACUUAUGAAUGGUAUCAAACCAAUAUGGCAGAGACCAUCCAAAGAAGUAGAAGAUGAAUACAAAGCUUUCUGCAAAUCAUUUUCAAAGGAAAGUGAUGACCCUGUGGCUUAUAUUCACUUUACUGCUGAAGGAGAAUGUUACCUUCAAAUCAAUUUUAUUUGUACCCACAUUUGUUCCAUGUGGCCUAUUUGACGAAUAUGGAUCUAAAAAGAACGAUUACAUUAAGCUCUAUGUGCGCUGUGUAUUCAUCACGGACGACUUCCAUGAUAUGAUGCCUAAGUACCUUAAUUUUGUCGAGGGUAUGGUGGACUCAGAUGGUCUCUCUUUGAAUGUUUCCUGCAAGACUCUUCAGCAACAUAAACUGCUUAAGGUGAUUAGCAAGAAACUUGUUUGUAAAACUCUGGACAUGAUCAAGAUGAGAAAUACAAUGAUACUUUUUGGAAAGAAUUUGGUACCAACAUGAAGCUUGGUGCGAUUGAAGACCACUCGAAUCAAACAUGUCUUGCUAAACCUCUUAGGUUCCAGUCUUCUCAUCAUCCAGCUGACAUUACUAGCCUACACCAGUAUGUGGCAAAAAUGAAGGAAAAACAAGACAAAAUCUACCUCAUGGCUGGGUCCGGCAGAAAAGAGGCUGAAUCUUCUCCAUUUGUUUAGCGACUUCUGAAAAAGGGCUAUGAAGUUAUUUACCUCACAGAACCUGUGGAUAAAUACUGCAUUCAGGCCCUUUCCAGAAUGUUGCCAAUGAAGGAGUGAAGUUUGAUGAAAGUGAGAAAGCUAAGGAGAAUCAUGAAGCAGUUGAGAAAGAAUUUGAGCCUCUACCCAAUUGGGUGAAAGAUAAAGCCCUUAAGGACAAGAUUGAAAAGGCUGUGGUAUCUCAGUGCCUGACAGAAUCUCUGUGUGCUUUGGUGGCCAGCCAGUACAGGUGGUCUGGCAACAUGGAAAGAAUCAUGAAAGCACAAGCACACCAAACGGGCAAGGACAUCUCUACAAAUUACCAUGCUAGUGGGAAGAGAACAUUUGAAAUUCAUCCCAGACAUCCGCUAAUCAGAGACAUGCUUCGACGAAUUAAGGAAGAUGAAGAUGAUAAAACAGUUUUGGAUCUUGCUAUGGCUUUGUUUGAAACAGCAAUGCUUCGGUCAGGAUGUCUUUUACCAGACACUAAAGCAUAUGGAGAUAGAAUAGAAAGAAUGCCUUGCCUCAGUUUGAACAUUGAUCCUGAUGUAAAGGUGGAAGAACCCGAAGAAGAACCUGAGGAGACAACAGAAGGCAAAGAGCAAGACAAAGACAAAGAAAUGGAUGUGGGAACAGAUGAAGAACAAGAAACAGCAAAGGAAUCUACAGCUGAAAAAGAUGAAUUGUAAAUUAUACUCUCACCGUUUGGAUCCUGUGUGGAGAGGGAAUGUGAAAUGUAAGUCAUUUCUUUUGGGAGAGACUUGUUUUGGAUGCCCCCCACCAGUCCCCUUCUCCCCUGCACUGUAAAAUGUGGGAUUGUGGGUUACAGGAAGAAGUGGGGUUUUUAGUUGAUUUUUUUUAAACAUACCUCAUGAAUGUAAAUUUGUACUAUUUAACUGACUAUUCUUGAUGUAAAAUCUUGUCAUGUGUAUAAAAAUAAAAAAGAUUUCCUCCCCACCAAAAGUUAAA